ACGAACGCUGGCGGCGUGCCUAAUACAUGCAAGUAGAACGCUGAAGAGAGGAGCUUGCUCUUCUUGGAUGAGUUGCGAACGGGUGAGUAACGCGUAGGUAACCUGCCUUGUAGCGGGGGAUAACUAUUGGAAACGAUAGCUAAUACCGCAUAACAAUGGAUGACACAUGUCAUUUAUUUGAAAGGGGCAAUUGCUCCACUACAAGAUGGACCUGCGCUGUAUUAGCUAGUAGGUGAGGUAAUGGCUCACCUAGGCGACGAUACAUAGCCGACCUGAGAGGGUGAUCGGCCACACUGGGACUGAGACACGGCCCAGACUCCUACGGGAGGCAGCAGUAGGGAAUCUUCGGCAAUGGGGGCAACCCUGACCGAGCAACGCCGCGUGAGUGAAGAAGGUUUUCGGAUCGUAAAGCUCUGUUGUAAGUCAAGAACGGGUGUGAGAGUGGAAAGUUCACACUGUGACGGUAGCUUACCAGAAAGGGACGGCUAACUACGUG
rnacentral:rRNA from 1 species